rnacentral:rRNA from 1 species
UUUAAUGAGUAUUUGAUUAUGGUACAUCCAUAUGGGUAUCUAGGUAUUUAACACAUGCAAGUUGUAUGAUUAAUAAAUUAAUCAUAGCGUAUAGGUCAGUAAUAAUUGGGAAGAUACCUAAGAGAUCAUUUAAAUAAUGAAUAUCAAAAGGGAAAGUAACGUAUUAAAUCCGAAAUAUGUCCCGCUCUUAGAAUUGCUCAAUUCCUAAUAAGUAGUUGGUGAGGUUGUGCUUAACAAGCUUAUGAUGGGUAAUGUAGAAUGAGAGUUCUUAACAUGACAUUGGAAAUGAAAAAGUCCAACGUGUCAAUUGACGCGCAGCAGUGGAGAAUAUUGGUCAAUGCACUAAAGUGUGAACCAGUGACCUAGAUUCGAUUUUUAAGACAAUUGAAAAUCGAUAAAAAACUGUAAAUGAUGAUUAUAGUUUUAUUAGUCCUGUCUAAUAUCUGUGCCAGCAGAAGCGGUUAUACAGAAGGGGCAACCCAUUGGAGAUUUGAAUUGGUGUAAAGGGUACGUAGCUGGUUUUCUUACUAAGAAAACUUGAAUUUAAUAGGAGUAACUAUAAUACCUAGAGUAGAUCUGAUAUGUGUUAAUACUAGGGGGAGUGCGAAAGGCGAAGGCAAGUUACUAAAUAUAAAUUGACGGUAAGGUACGUAAGUUAGGGCAUAGACAGAGAUUAGAUACCUCUUUAUUCCUAACCGUAAACGAUGCAAACUACGGAUUAGUUUAUAUAAAUUAAUCUGUAUUAUAACUAGUUAAGUUUGCCACCUGUAGAGUAUUGUCGCAAGGCUGAAAUACAAAUAAUUAGACGGCUUUAAAGCAAACGGAGUGGAGCAUGUUAUUUAAUUCGAUAAUCCGCGAAAAAUCUUACCACAUCUUGCAUACAAAAAUUUAUCCUUAAUGGAGUUUUGUACAGGUAUUGCAUGGUUGUCGUCUGUUAGUGCUCGUGAGGCAUAAGGUUAAUUCCGUUUAACUAACGCAAUCCACUACGCAAAUUUAUUUACUUUGCGUCAUAAUAAAUUUUCGAAAGAAAAAGGUUAUAGUGGGCUAUGACAAAUCCUCAUGAUCCUGAUGCUGUGGGCUAUAGACGUGCUACAAGAAUAUCUAACAAUAUGAAGCAAUCUCGAAAGAAGGAGCUAAACAUCAAUCGAUAUUAAUUACAAAUUGCAGACUGGAACUCGUCUGCAUGAAGUAGGAAUUUCGAGUAAUCGCGAAUUAGUAUGUCGCGGUGAAGCUAAUCUUUAAAGUGUACUAACUGCUCAUCACAGGAUGAUAGAUCACUUGUGAGGAAGUGAUAGAAUUUUAUAUAAUUAUAUAUAGCUUAGGCUCUCUUAUUAAGAGUAAUAUUUAUAAAAAAUGGUUACGAAUUGUAAUGAUUGAUUGUUCUGAAGUUGAAACAGGGUUAUGGUAGAUGAAUCUGCUGUAGUAUUAUAACUAAA